AGAGUUUGAUCAUGGCUCAGAACGAACGCUGGCGGCAUGCCUAACACAUGCAAGUCGAACGCCUGUAGCAAUACAGGAGUGGCGCACGGGUGAGUAACGCGUGGGAACCUGCCUAGUGGUAAGGAAUAACCGCGGGAAACUGCGGCUAAUACCUUAUGAGCCCUACGGGGGGAAAGAUUUAUCGCCAUUAGAGGGGCCCGCGUCUGAUUAGCUAGUUGGUGAGGUAACGGCUCACCAAGGCGACGACCGGUAGCUGGUCUGAGAGGAUGAUCAGCCACACUGGGACUGAGACACGGCCCAGACUCCUACGGGAGGCAGCAGUGGGGAGUAUUGGACAAUGGGGGCAACCCUGAUCCAGCAAUGCCGCGUGAGUGAUGAAGGCCUUAGGGUUGUAAAGCUCUUUCGACGGGGAAGAUGAUGACGGUACCCGUAGAAGAAGCCCCGGCUAACUUCGUG
rnacentral:rRNA from 1 species